GUAGGACAAUCUGUCUUUAAGUAGGGGUAAAUUACUCUGCAAUAAAUGAAGCCUGGAUAGUUUUCCCUUCAAGUCAGGCAUCUUG
rnacentral:pre_miRNA from 1 species